rnacentral:rRNA from 1 species
AUGAGGACUAGUAUGAAUGGCCCCACGAGGGCUGCACUGUCUCCUUUUUCCAAUCAAUGAAACUAAUCUCCCCGUGAAGAAGCGGGGAUAACUCUAUAAGACGAGAAGACCCUAUGGAGCUUUAAACAACUGAAACAUUUGCUUCUCCCCUGACCUCUCCUGAGUUCUUUAUUUUACUUAAGCAUUUUUAUUUCUAGUUUUAGGUUGGGGUGACCGCGGAGCAAAACUAAACCUCCAUGAAGAAUGAAUAUUUUUUAAGCCACAAACUACUUUUUUAAGCAUCAACAAAUUGACCUUCAUUGACCCAAUAUAUUGAUCAACGAACCAAGUUACCCUAGGGAUAACAGCGCAAUCUACUUCAAGAGCUCAUAUCGACAAGUAGGUUUACGACCUCGAUGUUGGAUCAG